CCCCUAGAUGUUCUGGGCCGCACGCGCGCUACACUGAACAGUUCAACAAGUCUUAACCUUGGCCGAUAGGUCUGGGUAAUCUUUGAACGCUGUUCGUGAUUGGGAUAGACCUUUGCAAUUAUGGGUCUUCAACGAGGAAUUCCUAGUAAGCGCAAGUCAUCAGCUUGCGUUGAUUACGUCCCUGCCCUUUGUACACACCGCCCGUCGCUUGUACCGAUUGGAUGGUCCGGUGAAAUCUUCGGAUAGCUGGUAGUUGGCUUGCCAUCUGCUGCUAAAAGUUGCUUAAACCUUAUCAUCUAGAGGAACAAGAAGUCGUAACA
rnacentral:rRNA from 1 species